rnacentral:lncRNA from 1 species
UUUAAGGAGAGAGUAAACAUUCACUUUAGUCACCAUGUAACAAAUGCAGACAUCUCUGAGAUCACCAUGCAGUGAGGAAGUCUAAGCUGGUGGCAUGAAGAGGCCACAUGGAAAGGGCUAAAAAAGGGGCCAGCCUCAGUCAUCCCAGCUGAGCACCUGGCUGGGAAUAAAAGAGGACUCCGUGGAUGUCCAGCCCAGUAAGAUGACCUCAGCCCCAGCCACCAACUGACCAAGCACACAAGACAUCGUGAGGCUGCCUGCUGGAGCCUGGCCAGUGGGACUGUAGAGUAACUCAUUGUCGUGCAGGAACUCCUGGGAUGGUGUUGCCCAGUGACACAAUCCCAGUGUGGCCAUUUCUGAUCCCGAGAAAGCAGUCAGGAGUGGGUGGAUGCAGUUACAGUUCAUCAAGUCCUGCUAGUUCAAGUCAUGAGUCCUGAAUUCUCCAGGAGGAGCCACUAAAGAAAUGCAGAAGCAGGCAAUCCUUGCAAUAAGGCCAGCAAACUGCCAGUGUGAAGGAUGCCCAGGUAACCUGCCCAUGCCAGAACGGCCAGGAGAUGGUGGAACCAGAAUCUAAGCCCACGCCCAUCUGACCUCAAAGUCUGUGCUCCUGAGGUUCGCACCGAGUUGCCUCCUAAGACUUGCUGAAACUGGAUCACGUCCAUUUACCCAUCUCUGAGAGAAAUGCAAGCUUUAAAAAAGGAAAUAUUUACUAUGGAUAUUUUACAAUAGUUCCAAAACAUGAAAGUUUUAAAUAAGAUAUUCUUAACCAUCCUCACCACAUCUUCAGGUUCCCUUACAGCCACUGUGUUUUGACGAUUGCCCAUUAGAAAAAAAGACUAUGCUUUCUGUAGGUUUUAAAGGAAUGGUGGUGAAAUAAGGAGCAUUCCCUGAGCAGAUCUUGCCUGCGGGCACACCUCUGAGCAUUGGACCAGGCGAGAAGAGCCCAUGUGUUGGCUGCUUUGGGAUCCCAGCACUGCCAAUGGCAGGUGGGCUGUGGCCCAGGGAGAGAACCUAGCCUUUUGCAUUCUCUUGCCCCAUUUGAAAAUGGAGACGAUAGUGGCGCCCCGCUCAGUGUUAUUUUGAGGAUUUGAAUGUAUCUCAGAUGUAGUACCUGGAAAAAUAUAAGUGCUCAGUAAAUACGGUUGCCAGAUAAAAUGCAGGAAACCUAUUUAAAUUUAAGUUUUGGCUGGACAAUGAAUAGAAUAAUUUUUCUUAGUAUGAGUAUGUCCUUAUAUUUCAUCUGCUAAAUUUAGCAACCUCCUCAGUAAACGAUCACUACAAUUGCAGAAACGCCUUAUGACAGAUAUAGUAAAUCUGUAAAGAAAUAGGAACUUGCAUUUAUUUUUACUAAGCUCUGACUGGUUAAGAUAACUGGGCAAGAGAAGAUAUCUUCGACUAAAC